rnacentral:rRNA from 1 species
UGGGGAAUAUUGCACAAUGGGGGAAACCCUGAUGCAGCGACGCCGCGUGGAGGAAGAAGGUCUUCGGAUUGUAAACUCCUGUUGUUGGGGAAGAUAAUGACGGUACCCAACAAGGAAGUGACGGCUAACUACGUGCCAGCAGCCGCGGUAAAACGUAGGUCACAAGCGUUGUCCGGAAUUACUGGGUGUAAAGGGAGCGCAGGCGGGAAGACAAGUUGGAAGUGAAAUCUAUGGGCUCAACCCAUAAACUGCUUUCAAAACUGUUUUUCUUGAGUAGUGCAGAGGUAGGCGGAAUUCCCGGUGUAGCGGUGGAAUGCGUAGAUAUCGGGAGGAACACCAGUGGCGAAGGCGGCCUACUGGGCACCAACUGACGCUGAGGCUCGAAAGUGUGGGUAGCAAACAGGAUUAGAUACCCUGGUAGUCCACACCGUAAACGAUGAUUACUAGGUGUUGGAGGAUUGACCCCUUCAGUGCCGCAGUUAACACAAUAAGUAAUCCACCUGGGGAGUACGACCGCAAGGUUGAAACUCAAAGGAAUUGACGGGGGCCCGCACAAGCAGUGGAGUAUGUGGUUUAAUUCGACGCAACGCGAAGAACCUUACCAAGUCUUGACAUCCCUUGACAGACAUAGAAAUAUGUAAUCUCUUCGGAGCAAGGAGGCAGGUGGUGCAUGGUUGUCGUCAGCUCGUGUCGUGAGAUGUUGGGUUAAGUCCCGCAACGAGCGCAACCCUUAUGGUCAGUUACUACGCAAGAGGACUCUGGCCAGACUGCCGUUGACAAAACGGAGGAAGGUGGGGAUGACGUCAAAUCAUCAUGCCCUUUAUGACUUGGGCUACACACGUACUACAAUGGCGUUAAACAAAGAGAAGCAAGACCGCGAGGUGGAGCAAAACUCAGAAACAACGUCCCAGUUCGGACUGCAGGCUGCAACUCGCCUGCACGAAGUCGGAAUUGCUAGUAAUCGUGGAUCAGCAUGCCACGGUGAAUACGUUCCC